UACGUAGGGGGCUAGCGUUGUCCGGAAUCAUUGGGCGUAAAGAGCGUGUAGGCGGUCCGGUAAGUCCGCUGUGAAAGUCGGGGGCUCAACCCUCGAAUGCCGGUGGAUACUGUCGGGCUAGAGUGCGGAAGAGGCGAGUGGAAUUCCUGGUGUAGCGGUGAAAUGCGCAGAUAUCAGGAGGAACACCUAUUGCGAAGGCAGCUCGCUGGGACGUUACUGACGCUGAAACGCGAAAGCGUGGGGAGCAAACAGG
rnacentral:rRNA from 1 species